UAUUACCCGGAAUCUGGAUGGGACCGCCUCC
rnacentral:piRNA from 1 species